CUGGUGAGAGGCUCCUACUAGCAGAAGGAGGUGGAGGCGAGAGAGGAUGAAGACGGGGGACCAGGAAGGAAGGAGGAGCGGAGCCCAGGAGGGGUGCCUGCACCCGGUAGAUCCUUCCAGAUGGCAUUGCAACACAAACUCAGUCAUCCUUAAGUGUGACCUACCAGGUUAGGGUGGACAGGAGCCCGCCCGAGGGCUUGCUCUGAAGGGAAGAGGUUCCCCAGAAGAAAGCCAAGCUCGUACCCUAAGCUGGUGUGUUUGGUCACCUGAACUCCCCGACUCACCUCUUUCAGGAGACUGCGCAUUGGAGAUUGGGGAACAGUGUUGCCUGGCUCUCACUGCCUCUAAUUUCAAAGGUCUUCAAGAGCUGGGAUUGAGGCACGUACCCUACGGCUUGGCCUUCUGCUGCUCUGCAGGCUUAGGCUCUGAGCAAAGGCAACUGCUUCUGAUUAAAGCAUUCAGCAGAACUGGGCUUCCCAGACCAGGAAGAGGUCAGUGUUACCUGAGAUCAGCCUCCUCCUUCCUGUCAUACACCGCUGUUGGCCAGGAGGAAGUCACUGGGACUGCUGGUGGCCCUCAAGCAACAGAGACUCCCCUUCCAGAGAGCAAGACAGAAGCUGCAAUGCCUGACAAAGUGAGAUUUGAUCACACAUUGCCAUGGGACUAGGGCUGUGUCCAAGUGAGAUCCUGAACUGCAGUGGAGACAUGGGGACAAGGUCUUUGAUGGUUACCUGGACCAGUCUUCAGUAAACUCGAGGGUGUGUAGUAUAUGUGCAAAUGUACAGUGCAUGUAGUGUGU